ensembl:misc_RNA 7SK 7SK RNA
GGAUGUGAGAGCGAUCCGGCUGCAAAUCUGUCACCCCAUCGAUCAUCAGGGUUGAUUCGGCUGAUAUGGUGGCCGGGCAGGUGUCUCCUUCCUUCCUCACCGCCCCACGUGUGUCCCUCCUGAAGCUGCGUGCUGGGUCGCAGAGACAACCACCCCUGACAGAGGAGGACCGGUCUUCAGUCAAGGGUACACGAGUGGCUGCGCUCCCCUGUAGAACCUCCAAACAAGCUCUCAGGGCAAGGGCUCAGAGGAGAAAUUUCUGGUUCUAUCCAUGGCAGAGUAGCUGAUACUGGACAUAUCUGUCUGUCAGAAAUA